UGGGGAAUAUUGCACAAUGGGCGCAAGCCUGAUGCAGCCAUGCCGCGUGUAUGAAGAAGGCCUUCGGGUUGUAAAGUACUUUCAGCGGGGAGGAAGGGAGUAAAGUUAAUACCUUUGCUCAUUGACGUUACCCGCAGAAGAAGCACCGGCGAACUCCGUGCCAGCAGCCGCGGUAAUACGGAGGGUGCAAGCGUUAAUCGGAAUUACAGGGCGUAAAGCGCACGCAGGCGGUUUGUUAAGUCAGAUGUGAAAUCCCCGGGCUCAACCUGGGAACUGCAUCUGAUACUGGCAAGCAUGAGUCUCGGAGAAGGGGGUAGAAUUCCAGGUGUAGCGUUGAAAUGCGUAGAGAUCUGGAGGAAUCCCGGUUGCGAAGGCGGCCCCCUUGACGAAGACUGACGCUCAGGUGCGAAAGCGUGGGGAGCAAACAGG
rnacentral:rRNA from 1 species